CCCACUGUCCCCCCAAAUACUCUUCCUUGUCCCCCAUGUCCCCCCCAAAUACUCUUCCUUGUCCCCCAGCAACCCCCCCAGUUGUCCCCUCCAAGUGUCCC